rnacentral:misc_RNA from 1 species
GCAAACUUGGUCAUUUAGAGGAAGUAAAAGUCGUAACAAGGUUUCCGUAGGUGAACCUGCGGAAGGAUCAUUAAUGAACUUGUCUCUCUCACUUUGGUUGACUGUUGCGCCUCUGGCUGCACGUUGCCUAGUGGAGGACUAAUUCCAUUAACCCCUUGUGCAUUCUGGGAGGCUUAGCCUCUUCACAUAUACCCUAAUAAAUGUACAUGUCUUAUGUUUAAUUCAUAAUUGUUAAACAACUUUCAACAACGGAUCUCUUGGCUCUCGCAUCGAUGAAGAACGCAGC